GAUAUGACUGUCUUGGUCCUAGCACACCAAGUGAGAGUAGUUUAAUCUGUGGGUGAGGAACCAUAGAUAAGAAGUCUGUAUACUGUAGAUGGAAAGGGGGGAGUGAUGGUCAGAAAUAGCUUGGCUAUCUACUGGUCAUCGAUCAUCUCAUUUGGGCAGGAUGUGAUAAGACAUUUGCCUUAUAUGGACAUAUUCCCAUCAACAGGCAGCCUGUGAUUGGUGGAAACUCAACUGCUGUGAUUGACUGAAACUUGGUUAUUUGUUACAAAAGUAUUUUCAAAUGUUAAGGAGCAAUUUGUGUACAUACUAAGUCAUGCUGUAGUUGACCAUAAAGUGAUCCUAGGUAUGGUCAUAGUUUUCAGCCAAACUUAGUGUAAUUUACCAGGGAUAGCAUUAGUGGUGAACACAGAAAUGGAAUACCUAAGUCUAUGGCCACAUCUCCCCAAACACACCUUCCCUUGCCUGAUCUGAAGCUAAGCUGUUUUGAGUAUGGCUAGUGCUUGGACAGGAGAAAGAACACUCAUGGACCUGGCUAAGAAGAUCUCCAGGCUGGUGACAGAACACUGGGAGGCCGAGAUCAACUGAGCGAGGAGCUGCUCCAUUCUCAGGAAUGGGAAUGAGUUGUUUCUUACGGGGUGAACUUCUGAUUCCCUUGCCUCCAAGUCCAGAGCAACAGGAAAGGAAGGGCGACUCAGAAGGGAAAGCCAGGAAUCCAAGGGGAAGAGCCAAGAGCCAUGGAAAACUACCCACAUGGAGCAGAAACCCAUAGCCAAUCCAGGGACAUUCUCUGGCCCAGGAGUCAAAACAAACGGUAACAUGUGCCCAGUCGAGUUUCGGAAUUGCGAAGAACAGUGGUGCUUACCCGCCCUGUGUAGUCCAGACUUUAUUACUUUAUUCUGUAUCCUUUCCCACAACUGUUUCUUAGUUUGUAAUACAACUUGCUGCUUUCUAUCCAGAGAACUCAAUGCCUCCUCCUGAAGCAACCGCUGAAAGGCAGUAUCAAGGAGUAGAGCAGAUACGAUGAUAUAAUGAUGCUAUCCUAUGCUUGGCGCAGAUUCCAUCGUGGAAUGAGAGUUUAGGCAGGCAUGAGUUCGUUUUUUGCACAUUGGAAUUGCUAGCCAUUGUCUCAGGCAGAAAGUUAACUGUGGCAGAUUAUCAAAUAUGUCUGCCAUCCACAAUUCCCUCUCUCUUGACCGAUGGGAAGCAGGAGAGGGGGCAUCCAGGAGUUUUGACUCUCUCUGUUUGAUGAGGACUGGUAGCUUGACUUUCUCCUUUUGGAACACAUCUUCAGGAAGCAGAAUGAGGAAACUGCGUAAGAGCACUUUACUGAACAGGCCUUCAACUGUCAAUUCUACUUGAGCUCCCAACCAGUGGCCAGAACAAAUUUUCAGGGGCAUGUAGUAAGGCUAUUUCUGAACAGCCAUUCCCUCAGCUCCCUAACCAAUACCGCAGACAGAAGAGCACUCAGUUAAGCCGCAGGAUCUCGGGGACAAGAAUUUGUUGCAGUUUGAAACCACAAAGUUUUGGUUGGUUUGUUGUGGCAACAGGGGACUAAAACAGAUAAAGAUGAAAACACAGGAACAGGGGCAGAGGUCUCCAAGAAAGCAUGUGAAAUACUAAGAUAAGAGAAACGUUGGGGAAACUGAGGAUCUUCGGUAGCUAUGGGGAUAGCAGAAAUGACAAAAAGAAAAAGAAUGUUCAGAGAACUAGCAGUGGCAGGCAAGGAGAAGAUUGCUUCAAAGCAAGGAGAGACUCACAUCAUCAGAAGCCCCUGGGAGCUCCAGAAAGAUGGGGAAAG